rnacentral:lncRNA from 1 species
UACUUGAUAAUUUUUGUCUCACCUGUAAAGAAAAUCACAGAUAGAAAGACACAUGGAUUGCUUUUCUGAUGGCUGCAGUGUAAACUUUUAUCAAAGUUUUGUGAUCAGGUCAGUUUUGAGCAACUAGGCUACUUUCAAGUUUUGUCCCUGCUGUUACUCAGUAACUAUACUUAGUAGGUCAAUAUUAUUUUGUCUAUGGGAUAAAGGGAAGGUUCUAAAGUCAGUGUAACACCUAGCUGUCACCCAACCCUGACCUCAUUUUCAUGGUCCACUGACCACAUUUAGAUUUUGGGAUAAGGUCUUGUUUCUUUGUAACUAUACUUGUAAGUUAAUGAUAUUUUGAUUAUGGAUUCGUCCCAUGGUAAGAUGUACUGGUAAGUCAGUCUGACACCUGUCAUCCAACCCUGACCUCAUUUUUAUGGUUCAAUGACCAGGUUAAUAUUUUAUUAGGUCUGUUUCGGGCAAUUGUAUUUGGUCUAUGUAUUCAUGCAAAGGUCAGUCUGAUAUAAGGUCAAUAUUUAGUGACUUACCAUCCUUGACCGGGGGACAGGGGAUUCCAUCUCUUUGGGGUAGGCGAAGUGUGAAUCAUGUAAAAUCAUUAUAAAAAUAGACAGAAG